UUUGACAGUGAAAACAAUGUCCGCUCUAGCUCGUUGACAACUGAAUACUUGACACUCAAUUGAAAAAAAAACAACUAACAAAGACAAAUAAAUUUAAUACUCACGUUAUAUUCUACCCUCCAAAUUUAUUUCUCGUCUUCACCAAAAAGCCACCACCUCAGCAUCACACAUCACAAUAGACGAAAUUCCCAAGGUUCCGAUGGACAUUUAUGUUCAGCUGUUAAUGGAGAUCAGAUGGAGAUGCUGCCUAAUGAGGAGAUGGUGAAAGAUGUGCUUUAAGCUGUUGCUGCUGUCCUUGGUGUCACAAUUCAAUGUGUUGUUCAUUGAUUUGCUUCCAUCUCUCGGGAGUUCAAGUUGAGCUGCAGCUGCUGCAAGCAGUUUGUAGCAUUGGUGUCAUCCUGAAGUGUUCUCAACGUGUCAGUCAAGGCUUAAGCUUAUUAAAGCGUGCUGUUCAAGGUUUUUUGAGUGUUUACACUCAAGUCUAUCUAAUGUUUAAGAGACGAUUUCAAGUGUAUACUAAUAACUGUUUAAUUAAUCUUUUAUUAGAUCAUAGAUGUCAAGCACAUUGAUGACAAAGUUUAAACAAGACUUUAAGAAAAGUCAUGUUCUUUCAAGAAAAAGGACAAGAACUAUUCAGUAAGGUUCCUUGUCUGCUAACCUGUUGGCUGCUACCCUUGAAUCUCCCUUUUUACUUCCUUAUAUGGCCUUCUUGAUUUAAGGGUAAUCCUUCGCUACUUGUCAUGGACUUCAACCAUUGGUGAAAACUGACGAGAGAAUGCUGUAAUUCAAGACUGAAAAUUGCGUAGUUGUUAGAUAAAUUGCAAGUGCAUAUCUGGGCUCCCUUCUUUUCUGUGGCCCCGUUUCCCUAUCUAACCACUAACCAACGCCCGCCGGUGGUCACUCACUCGCUACGACAACCAGGAAGAAGGGAGUGUGCUGGUCGAACGAGGACUUGCAAGGCGCAUGAUCCGAUGAAAACUUUUGGAGGGUCAUGAGUCUAAGCCGGAAGUCUACUAUGAUUAAUCGCUCUCGUAAUAACUGUUCCUCAACUCUUCGCUCUUUUUCCGGUUUCUCUCAACCACUGGCCGGGUAAUCUCCCUGGUCGCAGUCAAUUAAGGCAGUGUCUCCCCCUGCCUUGAUUGGCUGCAUGCUAGUCUUUAUAGAUCAGUUCUGGUUGUUGGUUUUCAAUCCGGCAUCCAAAAUAGCUUUAUAUAGAAUCUGCAAAAAUAAUUAAGUGUUGAACCGGACGAUCUGUUUGGCAAGUAAGAUAAAAUUGAAUGUAAUAUUU